AUCUGUAAAAAUGGAACAGCUGUAUUCCAUAAUGGUAUGAUUCAAAUCAGUCGUCAUGUUUGUUAGCCCUCAGCACACGCAGCUCGUCCUCCAGGUAAGUAAUCCUCUCAAUCAGAGCGGCUUUGUCGGCCUGAGCCCUCUGAUUGGCCUGCCAGCGAGCCUCUUCCACCUUCCUCUCGUACCAGUGCUCCAUCUGCGUCGACACCGCCUCGAAGAAGUACUGGGUCACCUCCAGAGCAUGCAUGUUGUCCCUCUCCUGAUCAAAGGAAACGGAGGGUUCACUGGGCUUGUCUGCAAAGACCUCCAGAGUCUUGACCCCCGUGGCCCCUCUGGAUUUAGUUCUGCCCUGGGAAUGUUUCUUGUGAUGCUUCCCUCUGUCACGUCCUCGCUCCCUGUCUCUGAGUCCGGCUUCAGUCCUGCUGCUGCAGCGGCGCUCUGUGUCCGGAGACAGACUGCUGGCUCUGUCAGUCCUGCCCCCUGUCGCUCCGUACUCCACCGUCUUCGCGUCCUGCGGGUCCUGGUUCUUCCUCUGGGUGUCAGCACAGAUCACUGAAUGCUCCUUUGGCCGAACCACCUGGACAGAUGACAGCGGGCUCUUGGCUGCUGCAGGAGAGAUAAAGAAAGAGGAACCAGAGAUACCGGAGAUGUUACACUGCAGCAAAGUCUUGCCAUUUAGUUUCACUAAAGUCAAACAUUUCUAAGCAUCAACGAUGCAAAGUAACUACAGUAGAUGUUAGGGUUAGGGAGAUGAAAGAAGAAUACACUGCUGAUGGACUCUAAGUUUACUAAGAUGGGGUUCAACUCCCUGCAGUGUCCUGCUUUGUUUUUGUGGCUAAUCCCACAGUUUAGAUGUGAAAGUAUCAGAGUUUGCUGUAUGCAGGUAGCCUGGCACUGCCAGACUAAUUUACAAAUGCUUGUUAGUCUGGAACCUCUCAAUUAACUUUUGAUUUCCAAGGGGCGUUAUCAAUGGGCGCAGACCAAAGUGCCUCUGAACCUAAUUGGAUAGACCUACAACCAAUCAGUUGGGGUGGUGCUCACUUUCUCAAAUUAUAGCUACGCAGUACGCUAAGAUGUGUUUCUGAAAACAUUUCAGGCAGUUUGAAUUGAGUUUCAUGAGACUGGUACAUUAAGUUGGAUGGACCAACAGAGUACAGGCCUGACAAGAACUGCAACCAAUCAAAGCAGCAACGUGUGACUUUUCAAAUCUGUACUGGUGACGCUCCUCUAUCAGUCAUCGUAUAAAACCUGCUCCUUUUAGAUAAACAGGCUCGGGAUAUUUGUCUGGUUCCAGGAUAAUGGGCAGGGCUUAGAUGCUAUUGCAACCACAUUCAGUGGACAUGUGUCGAUAUGAUGUCUGAGUGACCAUGACAUGUUUCUUGCAUCAACUAACUCUAAAGGAAGGAAUCCUUCUGUCUGUAUGUAUCUUGAGAAUCCAUGUUUAGAUUUACAGAACCGGCUGUGUAAGCAGUUUGUUGUAUUACCUGGAGAGCUCUCCAUAUGAACAACAAAGUAGUGAUUGGCUGAGCCAUCCUCUGCCACACUGGGCUCCCCCCGGGUGGACUCUAGGAAGGCAGGGCUGUGGUGGAGGUCUAGGCACUGGGAGCUGCUUUCUUGGCCAGAAGGCAGCACAGUGAGGCCGGCUACAUCGACUUCAUUCAGGCCCUCGGCCACAGAGGAGAAGCGCUGAAGCCUGGGGCUGCCUGGGUUUACUGUGAAGCGAACCUCCAUGUUCUGCAGCUUGGACAGACACCAGCUCUUCAGCUCACUGACCAGGGACGCCUGCUUAAAGGGCAGAUCCAACCACAUACAAGAGUCUCUCCUGCAGGGCCCGCUGCUCGAUCCUCUGCUGACACUUGCUGCUCUCCGCUGACACUCUCUCCACUGUCAUCUUAUCAAGAGCUCGGAUCUGACGGCAAAACCACAGCUGGCCCAUCUUGCUGUUCAUCAGGUCUUGGACGGUGUGUAUCUCAGUCUUCAUCUCCUCCUUGGUGGCCUCCAGCUGGUUCUCCAGUUUACUGAUGAGAGGCUCACAGCGGCAGCCGUUCAGAGGAGCCUGCAACACACUGCAAACAUCAACAACACAGCACACACAACACACACAUCCCUGUCCAUACUGUGUGGUCACAGGAAGGCUUUGUGCUGGCAAAAUGACAGAAAAGGGACUAAAGAUAGCAGUGCAGCUGUGAUAGAAUGGACCAAAGGCUACUCCACUACCGAGCCUGCUCCUGGCUGGCUGAUGUCUGGUUGUAUGAAAAUGGUAUUGCAGUCAACGGGCGGACCAUGUUCCACACCGACAGAAGGGGAGUGUUACCUGCAUGAUCUUGCCAUCCUUGCCGCGGUACAGCGUGUAGAGCUGAUAGGCUUUGUAACUGUGUGGUGGGAUGGAGGCAUGGAGGGAAGCUCCUUGCAGUUUGCCUUUCCUCUUGUGAAAGGCUUCGCUGUGCCUGGUCUCUCUGCGGCGGAGGGGGUCAGACAAAGACGGCUGAAACAUCAACAACAGCCAAGGCAGGGAUUCAAGCAGCAGCAGUACCUAUCAGAGCCCUGCUGGAGACUUACAUGGUUCUUGCUGUCGGGCCUGGAGCCUCCCAGGAGCAGAACCUUGGAGCUCUGAGAGUGACCGUUCUGACACGCAAGGUGGAGAGCUGUGUUUCCUGCCUGGAACCAGAAGGAGCAGAGAGUCAUCAAGACUAGGCAAAUUGAACUGAGACAAGGAAAAGAUGCGAGAGAAAAGAGAGAGGAGAAGAAGAUGAUAAGAACAGGGUGAGGCACCAUGGGAGACACAAAAAAGCGAGACAUGAAGAAGAGGGAGAGAGUGUAAAAAAGAAAAAACAGAAAAAGAUCACGUGUCUACAGAUGUAAUUUAU